GGCAGUAGAUUAUAUAGUAAAUUCAUUAAACCGGGAUUUGGCAAGCAGUUUUGUAAAAAGGUUUAUGAUGAUUUGCUCUGACGUGAUUUUUUGUGUCUAUAUUUGCAGCCCAACAAGAUGAACCGUACACGCGAGGAACCUCCCGAGCGUACCAACUCCUCCGUCCAAGUCAAGCGCUGGGCGCCGUCCAGGUCGAGCACUGGGUGCUGUCCAAGUUGAGUCAUCCAACAGCGGGGAGCGAGCUUUACUCCGGGGCAGCCCAUCCUAGACGCGCAGCUGCUCUGCUCUCCACAUGAAUUUAGUACAUAAUACUCUCCCUCUCUCUCUCUCAAUUUAUUCAAACCUAUAGCAUGGACACAGUUUGUAUGAAAAAAUACCUCUCUGAAGUUCUAAUUUGUUGUACAGAUGCCUUCAGAAAUUAACAAAAUAUAAAUUAUUAUUUGUUCCUUGUUAUAUGACAGGAUUGGAUUGGGUUGUAGUGCAUGUUAGGCUCUAUUGAUCUCCGUCCAUGAGUGGUGCUACCUCGAGUCCGGUCGAUGGCGUCCACGAGCACGAGCAGCCCGUAUCCGGCGGCAAGAUGAAGGUUACCCAUGAACCAUGCUUCCCCUAAUCACCUCCACCUUGUGCGAAUUCGUAGCUGAGAAUAAGCACAAGCACCUACAGUCCCCCGGUGGCUUUGGCCGCACUUGGCCACUAGCUCGUCCAUCAUGGUGACUGGCAGCCGUCCAAGUGGAAUGCGGACAUCAGUCCAUGGAGAACUAGUUUGUAUAAACUGCUGUUAUGUAUAAUUAGGGGAUCCAAUGUUGAAAAGUUCAAUUAAGCU
rnacentral:lncRNA from 1 species